UGGGGUGUAGCUCAGUGGUAGAGCACUUGCCCAGAAUGAAAUCCAGGGUUCAAUCCCCUGCACCAG
rnacentral:tRNA from 1 species